GUGGAGAGAGAGGCGGUCAUAACGGUGGAAGACGUCGUCACAUUGGCGGGUUCCAUAACCGGCACAAGAUGUUGGAAGGGCCCAGGGCGGGCCGGCCGGGUCAACCUCAUCCGUGUAAUCCUGCUGCCCACUGCGCUCCCUCCCUACGCUUUAGGGCAGCAACCCCCCGCAUUGGGGGGUGGAGGCCGGAUCUAUGCAAUCAAUGCUUCGCAUCCAUCCACACAGUUGGGUGCCGGUGCGGAGUAGACUAUUGCGGCUAAAGGAGGUUCACCCGGAUGGUGGCUGACUGCGCAUGCAGGACCAUCAUGGAUGGAUCCAACCAUGCGUUCCUUCCCCUGGGGCCUGAGGGGUGUAAAAACCCCUCAGCGACCUGCUCCGACGGCGUGAAGAGGACCCCCACCGUUUGGCACCCUCUCGCCAUUGUCCCAACCAAAACCCUCUGUGUACCCUUCCCUGUUGCUUCCCCCGGGCAACUGGCUCCGGCCAGCCGGGGGGAGAAACCUAGCAAAAACCCUUUUCGCAAAACAGACGUCUGAAUGUAGAAAACAAACAAAAAAAAAAAUAAGUUAAAACUUUCAACAACGGAUCUCUUGGUUCCCACAUCGAUGAAGAACGCAGCGAAAUGCGAUAAGUAAUGUGAAUUGCAGAAUUCAGUGAAUCAUCGAAUCUUUGAACGCACAUUGCGCCCUCUGGUAUUCCGGAGGGCAUGCCUGUUCGAGCGUCAUAAAUACCGCUCCCCCUCGGAUUGCUUGCGGUCCCUGGGGGGUUCUGGCAAUGUGGAUUCCCCGUGCUUUGAGGGCAUGCGAACGGGCUCCCAGUGCUGAAAGACAUAAUGUUCCCAGCCGAAACCGGCGAUUAAUUUCAUCGGCAGGAUUCGUGGCAGGCAGACUGAGGGCGUCAACCGUGGAGUCAUGAGGAUAGAAACCUCCCCCUUUGCAAGUAACAUUGCUCUGGCAGUUAGAUCUGCAGGCCUGCCGGUCUGGGGAUGGGCCUCCCACUCGCAGGCGUCACGGCCACGAUAGCGGGCGUUAAACGGAAUCCGAUCCGCCCCUCCCUGGGUGGUUGAAGAUCCUUGUGGGCUAGCAACCCCUAAACACAUUUUGACCUCGGAUCAG
rnacentral:rRNA from 1 species